AGUGAACGCUGGCGGUAGGCCUAACACAUGCAAGUCGAACGGCAGCACAGUAAGAGCUUGCUCUUACGGGUGGCGAGUGGCGGACGGGUGAGGAAUACAUCGGAAUCUACUUUUUCGUGGGGGAUAACGUAGGGAAACUUACGCUAAUACCGCAUACGACCUACGGGUGAAAGCAGGGGAUCUUCGGACCUUGCGCGAUUGAAUGAGCCGAUGUCGGAUUAGCUAGUUGGCGGGGUAAAGGCCCACCAAGGCGACGAUCCGUAGCUGGUCUGAGAGGAUGAUCAGACACACUGGAACUGAGACACGGUCCAGACUCCUACGGGAGGCAGCAGUGGGGAAUAUUGGACAAUGGGCGCAAGCCUGAUCCAGCCAUACCGCGUGGGUGAAGAAGGCCUUCGGGUUGUAAAGCCCUUUUGUUGGGAAAGAAAAGCAGCAGGUUAAAACCCCGCUGUUCUGACGGUACCCAAAGAAUAAGCACCGGCUAACUUCGUG
rnacentral:rRNA from 1 species